rnacentral:tRNA from 1 species
GGAGAGAUGGCUCAGUGGUUAAGAGCACUGACUGUUCUAGAAGACCUGGGUUCAACUCCCAGCACCCCA